rnacentral:pre_miRNA from 1 species
CUGUGUGUGAUGGGUUGGCAGUGUACUGUUAGCUGGUUGAAUAUGUAAAUGACCAGCUGACAUGCACCUGCUACCCUAUUGCAUACACA